UGCAAGAUUAGAGAUUACUGUACAGUUUUGAAAUUGUGCAACACGAGACUAAUCGUUAUGCCAUGCCCAUGGCUGAUUCUCUAAAUGCUCUCAUCUCUCCCAAGCAACGAUUUCCUAAUGUAUCUGCGUGUACAGUUUCUGCAAGCCGACAUUUCCUAAAUGGAGUAAGGAUUUUUGACACAUUAUUCAGCUAUUACUUAAUUUUGGAAACGGUUUUGGGAGGCUACGUGGCUGAACGAACGUCAUUCGUGUGGAAAGAAGAUGUGUUACGACGUUUUUUCUGUUACAGUGUGCAGCAACGGCACCUCCCAUGAGAAAGCAGCAUGCACAAACAGCGGAACAAGGCCUAACAUGAUGACACGGCCUCGGUAUGCUGUUGGCGUGGGCCAGCCCGGCAUCACCUGAACAAACAUUAAAGAUGUUAACGUCACGGUCAGGGCUGUGCGGCCACAGCAAAGAGCCAGUCAUUAUGAAGUGUGGGAAUGCGGGGCCGUCUGGUUGGAGCACGCAGUUGGCCAGGUAAGGAAGUGUG